rnacentral:tRNA from 1 species
GGGCAGGAGUUGGGCAGGAAAAUUUCAAAAUCUGUGUUUUUGCCUAUACAUUUGAAAAAGAUUCAUUCAUUCGUAAUGAAUAGGUCGUCGGUUCAAUUCCGACCUUCGGCUCUCCA